AAUUACAAUAAGGAUUAAUAUGAACUGGGUUUGGACGUAACUUCAGCUUUAGGACCCAGGAGGUCGCAUAUCUAGGAUGCAUUCGUCGAUUCGCAUGCUGCGAUUGGUGGUCCAGAUGCAACUCAUUUUGAGUGACAGAAAAACUGACCAAUCAUACUGUUCCUCUGAAUGGGUGGGUUCUCUUAUCACUAACUCUCAUAGAUAUGUAAUAUGUAUGUAUCUAUUAUGACAAAUUCUGCUCGCUCGCUCGCUUGGUUCGUGUUUUAAAGAUAAAUGUGACUUUACUGCGGUCUUUUUCGCUUUAUUUAGUUUUGUGUUAAUUAUAUCCACAAAGUAUUCGAAUAAAUUGGUAAUGCAAAACUAUUCUCCGCUGUAAAUUAAUUGUGUGCUCAAUUGCGACGCCCUGUGUUGAAUUUUCCCGCGAGUACAGUAUCAUUACUGAGGGGAAAUAUAACAUUAUUCAUUUAAUUCCACAAAAGGCCUGUAACGUACUGCAGCUUCCUGCAGGCAACGUGAAACAUUGCUGAGGGAGAACUUUAUUCACAACAAAAGGAUAAAGAUGAAGAGGCGGGACUUGAGCAGCUUGUGAUGGCUGUAAUUGUAAAGAAUGGAUCUUCUAGGAGUGGAAGCCCAAGGGAUGCUGGAAUUGUUAUCGAGGCCUU